AGGAUUAUGUAUACCACGUAGUGAGUGCGAUCUGUGAAUGGACAGUGGCCUUUGGUUUUAUUUUCUACUUCUUAACAUUCAUCCAAGAUUUCCAGAGUGUCACCAUAAAGAUAUCCACAGAAAUCAAUGGUGACAUUUGAAGAAAGAAGAAUUAUACCUCACUCAGUGAAUGUCACAGAUAAUUUCUAGACGUGGUACGGAGGACAGACAGGGUUUUGAUGCCACCCUGAUUGGAACGCAUCUGAGGCACAUUCAGGACUUGAAUUUCAUUAAGAAUUCCCAAUAGUUGUACUGUUUCCAAAGGUAUGUUUUCCUAGAGAAUGUACAGCAUUUAUGACAUUGUAGCGAUGUCUUUAUAAUUUUCUAAGUGGACACUUUUUUAUAUUAACAAAUUCAUAUACAGAAAAGAUAGGAUGUUACAGAAAUUGGAGAGCUCUUACUUUGUACAGAUUCUGUUAAUUUUUUCUUUGUGUGUGAAUGAUUUAUGGAAAUACACUAAGUGAGGAAUUUAAGUUUACUACAUUUAUUAAAAAGUAAAAUCAGGAGAUAUUCAUUGUAAAAUUUCAUUUUCAGAAAAUGAACUAUAUAAUUUUUUUAUCAUGAGCAUUUAUAAAAUUCAAUUUAUAAUAUAUAUCCAAAUCAUAAAGAUUUAGUUAAUACAUUAACACUAAGAUGCUCUGAUUUUAGCUGAACUAAGCAAAAUGCUUCUGAGAGGCCUUAAUACCACUAUGCACAUUAACUCUAAGUGAAUACAAAGACCUUGGCUUUGGAACUCUGCCUGUUCAUUUCUCCCUGCUUCUAGGGCCACAGCUUUUACCCCUGCUGCUAAUUAGCAGCCCGCAGUGGGCAGCAUUCCAGGUGGGAUGCAUUCAGCAAGGCAGGUUAGAUAUUAUGAAAUCAUUCUUUAUUGUUACUGGCAUAACUUGAUGUAUAUCAUAGUCUGACUCAGAAGCUGAAGCUCAUGUCUCAAAUGCAUUUUAUGCCAAUAAACAUGCUGAACUGAACAAAAGCCCAAGAGAGAGACAAGGAGAAAGGAGAGGGGGCAGCUGAAACUUCUGGGCUCAGGGUGCUGUUUAUUUCUCUCCUGUGGCCAAUAUUCCUCAACACCAUAGAAAAUAUGAGUCAAGCCCUUUGCGUUAAGCAGGACCUACAAACUCCACCUUUUCAACUGAAUCACGAAUGACAUGUGAAAAGCGACUCAUUCUGGUGGAAGAAGUAGCCCUUGAAAUAUUAAGGCUUGGGCUUGAAAGUUGAAGAAAGGAAACUCUCUCCUUCAGAGACUCCUCCAGACCACAAACUCGUGUCCGGCCAAUUGGGACCAGCCUUUGAGGACACAUACCAAGGGCAGAGCAGCCCAUUUGGACAGCCUGGGAGGGCAUCUGGGGAGGGGUGAGCACAUGGUGGCUCCCUACUGACUAUGUGUUGAGUGAGUGAAGGGACAAGACUCAGCCGCUGUCAGCCACCUCUGCAAUGACAAACUGCUUCUCCCCUAAGUGUUCAGCAGGGGGAAUCUGAUAACCAUUUCAGGGUCCCCUGCAACUAUGUCAGAACGCUGUGGGUCCCCAUUGUAACACUGGAACUGAAAGACAGUGACCGAAGCUAUGUCCGACAUCUGUUAUUUUGAAGAGUCUUUCCCCGGAUCCUAUGGUAGAAUGAAUCAUGGUUGUGUCUCGCUUUGAACAGACUUGUUAACAGCAUUUUCAAGAUGCAUUAUCAUUCUUCAUUUCCACCCCAUCUCUUUCAAUUAGAUUGGAAGCUCCUUGAGGGCAGAAUAUGUGCCUUAAUUUGUAUCUUUGUAACUCCAGCAUUUAACACGGUGCCUGUUGGUGCCUCCUGGUACACCUUAGGUGCUUAAUAAAUACUCAUUAAUGCAUGAAUAAAUGGAUGAAGGAAUGAUUAGGAAUGUUUGUAGUGCUGCAUAACGGGAUUUACUUUGUUUGCCAGUUAGUUUAAUGAUAAAUAGUCUGUAUCACCCAGUAAUGUUGACUGUUUUGCUUUGUGUACUGUGAACAUUUCAGUUGUUUGGGCUUCACCAUUCUAUGACAACUCUCUUCAACCUGGGCAGUUACCACAGAAAUUGUUACAUGAGCUAAACCAAAUGUUACACCUGUCUUGGCAAAGUGAGAAGGCCAAAAAUCACUCCAGACAAUCACCUUCUGCUGAUUCCAUGCAACGUCUAAAGCUGGUCUUAUUCAUAUUUUGGUAUUGUUUCUAAUUUACAUGAACUUGCAUUUCCUGGGACCUCAUAGCUGAAAGAGUAAAAUAAAAUGAAAUAUUUCUUUAUUUUA